UCAAAAGUGUCAAAAAUUAAAAAACGGGUGAGAAUUGACAGACAUUUAAAUUAUGCAAUUGCGUUGUGUGUUGGUGGUGCAGUUAGGAUUUGAAUUACUUUUCGUAUAAAUUCACUGGAAAGGAAGAUUUGGCCAAAUUUGGGAAUUUCAGACUCGAGCGAUUCUAUCCUCAAAGCAGUUAAAAUCUAUUUCCAAACUGCCAACCCCUGACUGUUUCCUUGGCAGAUAAACACCCCCAUAUGCUUGUAUCCCAAUUGAUGUUAUUUUGGACAAGUCUAGAGAAACCCCAGAGUCAUUGACCAAUUUUCCUUCAUAAUACGGUUUGAAGUCUUGUAGAGAAAGUAUCUCUUCUUGAAAAUUGUCAGGGGCUUCAAAGAAAUUACAGAAUGAAUAAUUAUAUCUCGCUUCUUUGAGAAUAAAUUUGUAGCCUUUGAAAGACCCUUGUCCUCUCACUUUGAGUGAAAUGCUCCUAAAACCACUUAAAUCAAGGGGUAUUUGUUUCUGGACGCCUGCAAAAGCAGCCCCACACGGUUGAGGAUUAAGCAAUGUGAAUAAAAUUGCUCGUUGGAAAUUUACAGUUUUUUGAAGGACUAAGCUCCCUUUUGAUUUUCCUACGUCUUGUACAGUAUCAGAUUGUUCACUCCAAUGAGAAAUUUCUGUAACAUCGUUGAAAUUUUCUAUGUACUUGCUCCUGUAAUAAUUUAACGAUUAAAUUAUGUAAAUGUUU